GGUCGGAAACGGAUAAUUUUUUAAAUAUAACUCGCCUUGUUGAUUGCUUUUCCGGCUGUCACUAGACGAUCGUAGUCGUUUUGGAUAAAUUGUGUCUAUAUU